rnacentral:rRNA from 1 species
AGAGUUUGAUCCUGGCUCAGAACGAACGCUGGCGGCAGGCUUAACACAUGCAAGUCGAGCGCACUCUUCGGAGUGAGCGGCGGACGGGUUAGUAACGCGUGGGAACGUGCCCUUCUCUAAGGAAUAGCCACUGGAAACGGUGAGUAAUACCUUAUACGCCCUUCGGGGGAAAGAUUUAUCGGAGAAGGAUCGGCCCGCGUUAGAUUAGAUAGUUGGUGGGGUAAUGGCCUACCAAGUCUACGAUCUAUAGCUGGUUUUAGAGGAUGAUCAGCAACACUGGGACUGAGACACGGCCCAGACUCCUACGGGAGGCAGCAGUGGGGAAUCUUGGACAAUGGGCGCAAGCCUGAUCCAGCCAUGCCGCGUGAGUGAUGAAGGCCUUAGGGUCGUAAAGCUCUUUCGCCAGAGAUGAUAAUGACAGUAUCUGGUAAAGAAACCCCGG